UAAUAAAAUUGGUCGCAAAAAAGUGACGCUCGUCGUUAAUUACCCAAUAAAUUAAUUUAAAGUGUUAUUUUACCAUUAAAUUAGUAAAAUAUUUAUGCUAAUAGUUUAAUCUAAUAAAAAAUCUAUUAAAAAUUCCAAAAAUUAAGUGUUAAAUUAAAGUUUUUCUUAAAAAAUUUCCAUAAAAAAGUGAAGAAACAAAAGAAAAUAGUAAAAUAAAAAGAAGCAGCAUCAAAUAAAAAAGCCCUUUGCUUAGGCAUGUUUCUUUAUUUGUUUGUUUGUGUAUGUAUCCCUUAUAGAGAAGUGUCUUAAAUUUGUUAUUGUUUUGAUUUGCAUUUGAGAUGAGAAUUAUAUUUAUUGUUGUUUUUUGCAUUAUACUAAAAGUGAGCGCAAAAAAGAAGAAAAAGAACAAAAAAAACUUCUCUAUAAUAAAAGCAAAGGCAAAAAAGUGUUGUUGUUUGUUUAUUUAUGGUUUAGUGUUGUUGUUUACAAAAGAAUGCAACUAGUGUUUAUGUUAUUGGUUUUAUUUGAAGUUUAGUUAAAAAAGUUAGUAGUGCGUUGUAGAGUUGCCGGUGUUUAAAUAUAGUGCUAAAAACGGGAAAACGGUACGGUCGGUAAAAUAAAAUAUAAAAUUAUGACUACAGAAUAAACGCUUAUACAAUAUUUUAAUAGAAUUUAAAUGUGUGUUUGUAUUUCAAAUGAAUAUUUUAUUUAGAAUUGUUAAGAAUUGCAAAAUUAUUUAGCAAUAACUUAAUAAAAUUUUGCGUCAUAGGAAAUGUUUGAACAAAGGAAAUUAGUGAAAUUAUGGGAAAAUUUUAUGCAGCAGGAAAUUUAAUAAGCAAAUAAAGGCAGGCCACUUGAAAAACUCAG